rnacentral:rRNA from 1 species
UUUAACCUGCGGAGGGAUCAUUACCGAGUUUACAACUCCCAAACCCCUGUGAACAUACCACUUGUUGCCUCGGCGGAUCAGCCCGCUCCCGGUAAAACGGGACGGCCCGCCAGAGGACCCCUAAACUCUGUUUCUAUAUGUAACUUCUGAGUAAAACCAUAAAUAAAUCAAAACUUUCAACAACGGAUCUCUUGGUUCUGGCAUCGAUGAAGAACGCAGCAAAAUGCGAUAAGUAAUGUGAAUUGCAGAAUUCAGUGAAUCAUCGAAUCUUUGAACGCACAUUGCGCCCGCCAGUAUUCUGGCGGGCAUGCCUGUUCGAGCGUCAUUUCAACCCUCAAGCACAGCUUGGUGUUGGGACUCGCGUUAAUUCGCGUUCCUCAAAUUGAUUGGCGGUCACGUCGAGCUUCCAUAGCGUAGUAGUAAAACCCUCGUUACUGGUAAUCGUCGCGGCCACGCCGUUAAACCCCAACUUCUGAAUGUGACCUCGGAUCAGGUAGAA